CCUGGGACUUACGUCCCAGGCUUUACGCUUCCGCCGCCUCCGCGGCU
rnacentral:sRNA from 1 species